UACGUAGGGUGCGAGCGUUAAUCGGAAUUACUGGGCGUAAAGCGUGCGCAGGCGGUGAUGUAAGACCGAUGUGAAAUCCCCGGGCUUAACCUGGGAACUGCAUUGGUGACUGGCAGGCUAGAGUAUGGCAGAGGGGGGUAGAAUUCCACGUGUAGCAGUGAAAUGCGCAGAUAUCAGGAGGAACACCGAUGGCGAAGGCAGCUUGCUGGGACGGUACUGACGCUGAGGCGCGAAAGCGUGGGGAGCAAACAGG
rnacentral:rRNA from 1 species